rnacentral:pre_miRNA from 1 species
AACACCUGGAGACCUUGUGAAAAUAAAAAUUCUAAUUCAAUAGAUUUGGGGUUGGACCCAAGAUUCUGCAUUUCUAUCAAGCUCUCAUGUGUAUUCAA